GAUGCUUGCAUCCGCUGACGAGUGGCGCACGGGUGCGUAACGCGUAUAGAACCUACCUUUUACUGGGGGAUAGCCCGGAGAAAUCCGGAUUAAUACCCCAUAGUAAUGUCUCAGGGCAUCUUGAGAUGUUUAAAGCUUCGGCGGUAAAAGAUGGCUAUGCGUCUUAUUAGCUAGUAGGCGAGGUAACGGCUCACCUAGGCAACGAUAAGUAGGGGCCCUGAGAGGGGGAUCCCCCACACUGGUACUGAGACACGGACCAGACUCCUACGGGAGGCAGCAGUGAGGAAUAUUGGACAAUGGUCGAGAGACUGAUCCAGCCAUGCCGCGUGCAGGAAGACGGCCCUAUGGGUUGUAAACUGCUUUUGUACGGGAAGAAUAAUACCCACGUGUGGGUAGAUGACGGUACCGUACGAAUAAGGACCGGCUAACUCCGUGCCAGCAGCCGCGGUAAUACGGAGGGUCCGAGCGUUAUCCGGAAUCAUUGGGUUUAAAGGGUCCGCAGGCGGGCCAGUAAGUCAGGGGUGAAAGUUUGCGGCUUAACCGUAAAAUUGCCUUUGAUACUGCUGGUCUUGAGUUGCGGUGAAGUGGCCGGAAUAUGUGGUGUAGCGGUGAAAUGCAUAGAUAUCACAUAGAACACCGAUUGCGAAGGCAGGUCACUAACCGCCGACUGACGCUGAUGGACGAAAGCGUGGGGAGCGAACGGGAUUAGAUACCCCGGUAGUCCACGCCGUAAACGAUGGACACUAGCUGUCGGGCCUUAUGGUUCGGCGGCCCAGCGAAAGUGAUAAGUGUCCCACCUGGGGAGUACGUCGGCAACGAUGAAACUCAAAGGAAUUGACGGGGGCCCGCACAAGCGGUGGAGCAUGUGGUUUAAUUCGAUGAUACGCGAGGAACCUUACCAGGGCUUAAAUGUAGUGGGACAGGGGUAGAGAUACCCUUUUCUUCGGACUCAUUACAAGGUGCUGCAUGGUUGUCGUCAGCUCGUGCCGUGAGGUGUCAGUUAAGUCCUAUAACGAGCGCAACCCUUACCGUUAGUUGC
rnacentral:rRNA from 1 species